UGGGGAAUAUUGCACAAUGGGGGAAACCCUGAUGCAGCGACGCCGCGUGAGCGAAGAAGGCCUUCGGGUCGUAAAGCUCUUUUAUGAGGGAAGAUAAUGACGGUACCUCAAGAAAAAGCCCCGGCUAACUACGUGCCAGCAGCCGCGGUAAUACGUAGGGGGCUAGCGUUGUCCGGAAUCACUGGGCGUAAAGGGUUCGCAGGCGGAAUAACAAGUCAGAUGUGAAAGGCAUGGGCUCAACCCAUGUAAGCAUUUGAAACUGUAAUUCUUGAGAAGUGGAGAGGUAAGUGGAAUUCCUAGUGUAGCGGUGAAAUGCGUAGAGAUUAGGAGGAACACCGGUGGCGAAAGCGGCUUUUUGGCCUGCAACUGACACUGAGGCGCGAAAGCGUGGGGAGCAAACAGG
rnacentral:rRNA from 1 species